rnacentral:rRNA from 1 species
GACGGACGGUGCAAGCGUUGCUCGGAAUCACUGGGCGUAAAGGGUGCGUAGGCGGCCGUGCAAGUCUGGCGUGAAAGCCCCGGGCUCAGCCCGGGAAGUGCGCUCGAAACUGCGCGGCUUGAGUGCCGGAGGGGAGAGUGGAAUUCCUGGUGUAGCGGUGAAAUGCGUAGAUAUCAGGAGGAAUACCGGUGGCGAAAGCGACUCUCUGGACGGGAGCUGACGCUGAGGCACGAAAGCGUGGGGAGCAAACAGG